GCCUACGGGGGGCAGCAGUGGGGAAUAUUGCGCAAUGGGGGGAACCCUGACGCGGCAACGCCGCGUGAGUGACGAAGGUCUUCGGAUCGUAAAACUCUGUCUUUGGGGAAGAAAAAAAUGACGGUACCCAAGGAGGAAGCCCCGGCUAACUACGUGCCAGCAGCCGCGGUAAUACGUAGGGGGCGAGCGUUGUCCGGAAUUACUGGGCGUAAAGGGUGCGUAGGCGGCCGAUCAAGUCAGAUGUGAAAUACCACGGCUCAACUGUGGGGGUGCAUAUGAAACUGGUUGGCUUGAGUGCAGGAGAGGAAAGUGGAAUUCCUAGUGUAGCGGUGAAAUGCGUAGAGAUUAGGAAGAACACCAGUGGCGAAGGCGACUUUCCGGACUGUAACUGACGCUGAGGCACGAAAGCGUGGGGAGCGAACAGGAUUAGAUACCCCGGUAGC
rnacentral:rRNA from 1 species